rnacentral:rRNA from 1 species
UACGUAGGUGGCGAGCGUUGUCCGGAUUUACUGGGCGUAAAGAGCGCGCAGGCGGCUGGGCAAGUCCGAUGUGAAAGCUUCCGGCUUAACUGGAAAAUUGCAUCGGAAACUGCUCAGCUUGAAGGUGGGAGAGGGUAGCGGAAUUCCCGGUGUAGUGGUGAAAUGCGUAGAGAUCGGAAAGAACACCAACGGCGAAAGCACUCUGCUGGGCCGACACUGACACUGAGAGACGAAAGCUAGGGGAGCGAAUGGG